AAGGAAGGAGAACUCUCUCCGGCACCUUCCACCUAAAGCCUGUGUCUUACGGAGGUCAUAAGUGGUGGAGAUCAUCUCGGAGCACUGAGCGAGCAUCACCCUAUUUGGUGCAUCAGCUACACAGAGAUUUGACAGGCAGCAGGUACAAAGGUUAAACUUGAUUGAACAAAAUAAGACAAAAAGCAGAAUGAUGACCCAGUUUGCGUAGUAGCCCUAAACCGAGAGCUCACACCUGAAGGUAGCCAGCUAAAUAGAUCUAAGGCUCAUAGGUCAUUAGGCAGAAUUCUUUGCAGCCAAAGUGCUUAUUCUCUGGUUUAUGCAGGUAGGUAUUUACUUCCCCAGAGGAAUUUAUCCACGUGUAGCAGGUGGUAUUCACUCUUGUCCAGACUCCUCCUUGUUCAGCCAGUAGAUAAUCAAGGGCUGUGCCAUUAUCCAUAAUUACUGUAGCCAAAGAGUCCAGUGAUCAUUGUUGGGCUGUUAGUGCUUUGGUUGUGGGGCCAGCUAGCUCUCCUAAUGUUUGGGAAAGAUUCCCGAUCUUGCAUUGGUUGGCAUUUCCUCCAAUGUAUGGGAGAAAGUCUCUGCCCAGGGAGGAAAACCAGAGUCAUAUAUGUGUCCUGGAAGUUCCCAUGUAGCAGCCAUGGAGGCUCAAUGGAGUGGACAGGACGGGAGGCUUCUCAUUUGGUAUGCAUAUUAACAGGGACAGUGAAAUGUUCCAGUGAGCAUUGACCUCCAAGUGGCCAGCUGCCAACUUUCAUAUGCCCUUGAGAAAUGCUGUCCAGAACAAACACAAAUGGAACCAGGUGGAGCCUCGGGGAUGCCAGCUCAGGUCUGGUUAUUGAUAGAUUCACUAGCCGAAUGUCCUGACUGACCCUUUCAAGUUAUAGCUCAGAAAGUUUGAGGUGACAUUCUGUGAGAGAUUAUUCCCUCCUAAAGGGAUUUUUUUUUCUAAAAACCUCACAGAGGAGUCUAGACCUGGUUUUUUCCCCCUGGGUGCAGGGAAACAGAUUGUAUUUAGGUAAGGAAAAGAUGCGGGGAAUGAGGGAAGGGGGGCUGACAGAGGCUGAGGUGUUUAGCUGAGCUGGCCCGGUUACAACUGGGGAAAGGCUGAAACAAGCAUGGGAACACCUGGCCGUAACAACCUAACCCGACAGGUAACCUCCAUGGGCUUAUAGGAUUGCGGGUGAUCAUCUCCCAUGCUUGGAUCCUUGGUCUCAGGCCACAGUGUUUGGCAGAAAUCAGUAAUUUUUCAGAACAUUGGAAGGUGCCCACCACUGGCACUAGUGUAUUUUUGUCACUUCAAAGCACCUGUGGGCAGUCCUUUGCUUUCCUUAGGGUCUGCUUUUCCACAGACGCUUUCCUCUGCUGCUUUAUUGCCACUUACAUUAAAUACAGUAUAUGACAAUAGUUUAUUAAUGCUGUACUGUAGUCAACAUCUGUGUGAGCGUAUACAAUGGCCCCCAUGCAGAAAAAGGUUGAAAAGAAAGGCAGUAAGAAGGAGAUGAUUACGGUGCAAGUUAAGAAGGAAAUCAUGGAGAAGUACGAACGAGGUAUGCGCGUGGCCGAAAUUGCGGGAUUUUAUAAGUCUACGUCUGCAUUUCGUCUGCAGAGGGAGAGGAGAAAAAGAUGGAGGAACCCCUCACUUCAGAGGAGAUUAGGGAGAUGUGUAAAAUGUGGGGAACAGUGCAAAAUUUUGUAGAAAGGCACCACCGCAUAAGGCUGUCGCAGUGCGAGCGAUGAAUCUGUUUAAUGCCAAUGUCACAUUUCCGCGAACUCCUCCAAAGGAGGCAAAAGCAGGCGUCGUUGGAUAGGUUCCUUGUUAAAGCUGCAUCAAG